UCUCAUAAAUUAUCUUGAUCGAGGUUUUACUAAAUUGAAACACACUGAUGCAUUAACUCCUACUUAUUUGGAGAGAUCAAUUUUAUCUCAACUCACACACUGACUUCGCAAGUACUUGACUGUGCACAGAAAUCUUUCAUCACUGAAUUAGAAAUUCAGAUAGUCCGAUGUCAAAGUACAGUGAGUUGCUUGCAAGUCAUCAUGGUGAUCUU
rnacentral:lncRNA from 1 species